rnacentral:rRNA from 1 species
GAUGAACGCUGGCGGCGUGCCUAAUACAUGCAAGUCGAGCGAAUGGAUUAAGAGCUUGCUCUUAUGAAGUUAGCGGCGGACGGGUGAGUAACACGUGGGUAACCUGCCCAUAAGACUGGGAUAACUCCGGGAAACCGGGGCUAAUACCGGAUAACAUUUUGAACCGCAUGGUUCGAAAUUGAAAGGCGGCUUCGGCUGUCACUUAUGGAUGGACCCGCGUCGCAUUAGCUAGUUGGUGAGGUAACGGCUCACCAAGGCAACGAUGCGUAGCCGACAUGAGAGGGUGAUCGGCCAGACUGGGACGGAGACACGGCCCAGACUCCUACGGGAGGCAGCAGUAGGGAAUCUUCCGCAAUGGACGAAAGUCUGACGGAGCAACGCCGCGUGAGUGAUGAAGGCUUUCGGGUCGUAAAACUCUGUUGUUAGGGAAGAACAAGUGCUAGUUGAAUAAGCUGGCACCUUGACGGUACCUAACCAGAAAGCCACGGCUAACUACGUGCCAGCCGCCGCAGUAA